GAUUAAUUUGUGGCUAAUUAAAAUUUAAAUGUCACGUUUUAACCUUUAUAUUAAAAACCUAGAGUCUAUUUUUUAGGUACCAGGAAGAGGCAAUGAAUUUUGUUCAAGAUGAAAGUCCGAAUAAGCGAUAUAGAAA